rnacentral:rRNA from 1 species
GAUGAACGCUCGCUACAGGCUUAACACAUGCAAGUCGCGGGGCAGCAUGGGGUUGCUUGCACUCCCCGAUGGCGACCGGCGCACGGGUGAGUAACGCGUAUCCAACCUGCCCUUCACCACGGGAUAACCCGGCGAAAGUCGGACUAAUACCGUAUGUUGUCCAUUGACGGCAUCCGACUUGGACGAAAGGGUUGGCGGUGGAGGAUGGGGAUGCGUCUGAUUAGCUGGACGGCGGGGUGACGGCCCACCGUGGCGACGAUCGGUAGGGGUUCUGGGAGGAAGGUCCCCCACACUGGAACUGAGACACGGUCCAGACGCCUACGGGAGGCAGCAGUGAGGAAUAUUGGUCAAUGGGCGUAAGCCUGAACCAGCCAAGUAGCGUGCAGGAUGACGGCCCUAUGGGUUGUAAACUGCUUUUAUGCGGGGAUAAAGUGGCCCACGUGUGGGUUUUUGCAGGUACCGCAUGAAUAAGGACCGGCUAAUUCCGUG